rnacentral:rRNA from 1 species
UACGGGGGGGGCAAGCGUUGUUCGGAAUUACUGGGCGUAAAGGGCUCGUAGGCGGCCAACUAAGUCCGACGUGAAAUCCCAAGGCUUAACCUUGGAACUGCGUCGGAUACUGGAUGGCUUGAGUUCGGGAGAGGGAUGCGGAAUUCCAGGUGUAGCGGUGAAAUGCGUAGAUAUCUGGAGGAACACCGGUGGCGAAGGCGGCAUCCUGGACCGACACUGACACUGAGGAGCGAAAGCCAGGGGAGCAAACGGG